UACAGAGGGGGCAAGCGUUGUUCGGAAUUACUGGGCGUAAAGGGCGCGUAGGCGGCCUGCUAAGUCGAACGUGAAAUCCCUGGGCUCAACCCAGGAACUGCGUCCGAUACUGGUUGGCUUGAAUCCGGGAGAGGGAUGUGGAAUUCCAGGUGUAGCGGUGAAAUGCGUAGAUAUCUGGAGGAACACCGGUGGCGAAGGCGACAUCCUGGACCGGCAUUGACGCUGAGGCGCGAAAGCCAGGGGAGCAGACGGG
rnacentral:rRNA from 1 species